UUUGAUGGCGACCGGCGCACGGGUGAGUAACACGUAUCCAACCUGCCGAUGACUCGGGGAUAGCCUUUCGAAAGAAAGAUUAAUACCCGAUGGCAUAGUUCUUCCGCAUGGUAGAACUAUUAAAGAAUUUCGGUCAUCGAUGGGGAUGCGUUCCAUUAGGUUGUUGGCGGGGUAACGGCCCACCAAGCCUUCGAUGGAUAGGGGUUCUGAGAGGAAGGUCCCCCACAUUGGAACUGAGACACGGCCCAAACUCCUACGGGAGGCAGCAUG
rnacentral:rRNA from 1 species